rnacentral:rRNA from 1 species
UGAAUACGAAGUGCUACGGCAUUGAAGUGAUCUAUGCCAGGCUUCCAAGAAAAUCUCGUCAUAUCUUAAGCAGUAGAUGCCUGUACCUUAAACCGACACAGGUAGGUAGGUAGAGUAUACCAAGGGGCGCGAGAUAACUCUCUCUAAGGAACUCGGCAAAAUAACCUCGUAACUUCGGAAGAAGAGGUACCCUUGAAAAAGGGUUGCAAUAACCAGACCCUGGCGACUGUUUACCAAAAACACAGGUCUCCGCUAAUUCGUAAGAUCAAGUAUGGAGGCUGACGCCUGCCCAGUGCCGGAAGGUUAAAGAAGUUGGUCAAUCUUUGGAUGAAGCUGGCGACUGAAGCCCCGGUGAACGGCGGCCGAAACAAUAACGGUCCUAAGGUAGCGAAGUUCCUUGUCGGGUAAGUUCCGACCCGCACGAAAGGCGUAACGAUCAGGGUGCUGUCUCGGAGAGAGACUCGGCGAAAUAGACAUGUCUGUGAAGAUGCGGACUACCUGCACCUGGACAGAAAGACCCUAUGAAGCUUUACUGUAUCUUGGAAUUGGGUUUGGGCCUUGCUUGCGCAGGAUAGGUGGGAGGCUGUGAAGAUAUUCUUGCGGGAAUGUUGGAGCCAACGGUGAGAUACCACUCUAGUAAGGCUAAAAUUCUAACUCUGAACCGUUAUCCGGUCAGAGAACAGUUUCAGGUGGGCAGUUUGACUGGGGCGGUCGCCUCCUAAAAGGUAACGGAGGCGCGCAAAGGUUCCCUCAGGCUGGUCGGACAUCAGUCGUAGAGUGUAAAGGCAUAAGGGAGCUUGACUGCGAGACCCACAAGUCGAGCAGAGACGAAAGUCGGCCUUAGUGAUCCGACGGUUCCACGUGGAAGGGCCGUCGCUCAACGGAUAAAAGUUACUCUAAGGAUAACAGGCUGAUCUCCCCCAAGAGUUCACAUCGACGGGGAGGUUUGGCACCUCGAUGUCGGCUCAUCGCAUCCUGGGGCGGUAGUACGUCCCAAGGGUUGGGCUGUUCGCCCAUGAAAGCGGUACGCGAGCUGGGUUCAAACGUCGUGAGACAGUUCGGUCCAUAUCCGGUGCAGGCGUUAGAGCAUUGAGAGGAGUCCCCCUUAGUACGAGAGGACCGGGGGGAAUACACCGCUGGUGUACCAGUUAUCGUGCCAACGGUAAACGCUGGGUAGCCAUGUGUAGCGCGGAUAACUGCUGAAAGCAUCUAAGUAGGAAGCCCACCUUAAGAUGAGUGCUCUCACCGCUAUAAGCGGGUAAGGUCACGGUAAGAACAACCGUUAUAUAGGCAUUAAGUAUACGUGCAGUAAUGCAUUUAGCUGAGAUGUACUAACAGACCGAGGGCUUGAU